rnacentral:misc_RNA from 1 species
GAUGAAGAACGUAGCGAAAUGCGAUAAGUAAUGUGAAUUGCAGAAUUCGGUGAAUCAUCGAAUCUUUGAACGCACAUUGCGCCCGCCAGUAUUCUGGCGGGCAUGCCUGUCUGAGCGUCAUUUCAACCCUCAUGCCCCUAGGGCGUGGUGUUGGGGAUCGGCCAAAGCCCGCGAGGGACGGCCGGCCCCUAAAUCUAGUGGCGGACCCGUCGUGGCCUCCUCUGCGAAGUAGUGAUAUUCCGCAUCGGAGAGCGACGAGCCCCUGCCGUUAAACCCCCAACUUUCCAAGGUUGACCUCAGAUCAGGUAGGAAUACCCGCUGAACUUAAGCAUAUCAAUAAGCGGAGGA